UCUUGUUUAGCUUAAAAGGAAAAAGCAACGAUCUUCUAAAUCGUUUAUUGUAGGUUCAAAUCCUAUAACAAGUAA